rnacentral:rRNA from 1 species
AAUAAAAAAUUUAAUAGUUUUUAUUGUUUUAAAAUUAUUUAAUAUAAAUAAAUUUAAAUUUAAAAGUUUUUGUAUUGUUUAAAGAUCAAAUAAUUUUUUUUAUAGAUAAGUAGUAUUGAGAAAGAAAAUUGAAAAAUUUUUUUGUUUAUUAAAAAGUAAUAUUAAUUUUAUGUACCUUUUGUAUCAGGGUUUAUUAAAUAAGAAUAAAAAAUUUUAUGAUCUCGAAUUUAAAGGAGCUAAAUUAGUAUGAAAUUUUUUGUUUUAUAAAAAUUUUAAAUAUUAAUUUAGUAAUGAAACGUUAUUCGUCUUUAAAUAUAUCUAGUUUUUUAAGAAAUAAAUUUAAUUUAUAUAUUAAUUAAUUAAUUUUUUAAUUAUUAAAUUGAUUAAUAAUUAAUAUAAAUAUAUCAGGGGAUAAGCUUUGAUUUAUUAAGAAUUAUAAUUAUAUAAAAUAUUUUAUUAGUUGUAGAUUUAGAAAUAGUUAUCAAUAAAAAAUUUGUAUUAAUUUAUAAAUUUAUAAAAAAUAUUUAGUAGAAUUUAAUUUGAGUAUUAAAAUGUAAAUUUUAAUUGUAAAAAUUUAGUAAUAAUGAUAAAAUUAGUAUAGUAGUAUUGUUUAAAUAUAAUUUAUAAAAAGGUUAUUUUAAGGAAUUCGGCAAAAAUAAUGUUCACCUGUUUAACAAAAACAUGUCUUUUAGAAUAUAAUUUAAAGUCUAACCUGCCCACUGAAUUUAUUUGAAGGGCCGCGGUAUUUUGACUGUGCAAAGGUAGCAUAAUCAUUAGUCUUUUAAUUGGAGGCUUGUAUGAAUGGUUGGAUGAAACAUUAACUGUCUCAAUUUAAUAAAAGUAGAAUUUAAUUUUUAAGUUAAAAAGCUUAAAUGAGAUUAGAGGACGAGAAGACCCUAUAGAUCUUUAUAAUUAAUCAAUUAUUAUUAAUUUAGUAAAUUAAUUUUUAUUAAUUUAUUAAUUAUUUUAUUGGGGUGAUAAAUAAAUUUAGUAAACUUUAUUUAAUAAAAACAUUUAUUUAUGAAUAUUUGAUCCAUUAUUAAUGAUUAAAAGAUUAAGUUACCUUAGGGAUAACAGCGUAAUUUUUUUAGAGAGUUCUAAUCGAUAAAAAAGUUUGCGACCUCGAUGUUGAAUUAAAGGUUAAUUUUAGGUGCAGAAGUUUAAAGUUUUGGUCUGUUCGACCAUUAAAUCUUUACAUGAUUUGAGUUCAAACCGGCGUGAGCCAGGUUGGUUUCUAUCCUUAAUAAUAUAAAAUAUUUUAGUACGAAAGGACCAAAUAUUUAAAAAAUUUUUUAAAAUUAGAAUAAUAAUAAU